rnacentral:lncRNA from 1 species
CGGACGGAGCCGACAGAUUUCAGAUUUAUGUUUGAAAACUGGCCCCGCUUCUAGAAGCGCAUCACUGAUCGAAUGGCACGGGAAUACCGCGGUUCUUGCUCCUUCUUCCGCAAGCCCUUUUCUAUAACUGCGCUGUAACACUGUCAUUCUUUCCCAUGCCCCUUUUUCCCCACUCACUGAUUUCACCGUGGUGAGGGGAGAAGGGGAACAAACCCCCCCAGUCUGCCACAGAAGACCGGCCGUGCUCUGUCCUGUCUCUCCCGCUCCAGCCCCCGUCGGGCUCCACCAAAGCCCUUCGGGACCUGUGCGGUACAGAGCAGCCUCCCUGUGCUAAAUAAAGGUUUCCGAAGAGUUUAGGGCUGUUCAGACAGCGACAGUGGGAACUGUGCCAGCACCUAGACACUGUUUUUCUACAUUACCACUCAGUGCUGUUUUUAGCUGCUGCAUUAGGUGCACGAUAUACGUACGUCUGCUUCAUUCCACGCGCUGUAUUUUAAAGGCGUAGCACUAAGCAAGGAAGGGCACCGUAUUGCGAGGUGUUUUGUGAACUAAACGUUGUCGUUAAUCCUGAGUAUCCCUUCCCGUGGAGGCGUGAGGCUAGCUUACAAGGAGGAGGAAUAGCAGAAGCAACUGAGCGCAUCCUGGCGGGGUUUGGUGGGGCAGCUCUGCAGCGGGUGCGCUGGGUGCGGCAGCACUGGGAGAGACCCCAAACCCACCAGGACCCGCCCUGUAGCUCGGUUUGGAAGGGGCUGGCAGUGGCACACAACAUGUGUCCGGGCACAAAGGCACAGAGCUGCCAAAGCCAAGGAAGGAAGCAGAAAAACGUUCACAGGGCAGCUGGGGGAGCAGGCAGCGCUGCUCACGUCUGCGAGCGCUGGGGGCGAGCACAACGCCUGUAGGGCAGGAGGCAGUAGGGCAGCUUCAAAGGGAAGCCCCGCCAAAACAGCAAACACUCAUCAAUUUUUACUUCUGCUUCUUUAGAAGAGAUCUAUUAUUUAUUUCUGCUCAGAUGUAUUUGAUAAUUAGCAGCAAAGGAAAGUCUAGCAGCAGAUGGGGACAUUCCUGGGGAAAUUUCAGUGCUGAAUAUUUUAUGGAGUACAAAUGCAACUUUCAGCCCUUUGCUUUGGACCGAAAGUGACUGCAGACAAUUUGAGAAAUUGAAAAAAAAAAAGUUAUUUGCUUAACAAAUAAAUUGUACUUUAUUAAAACCA